UACAGAGGUCUCAAGCGUUGUUCGGAUUCAUUGGGCGUAAAGGGUGCGUAGGUGGCGAUGUAAGUCUGGUGUGAAAUCUCGGAGCUUAACUUCGAAAUUGCAUUGGAUACUGCGUUGCUCGAGGAUUGUAGAGGAGAGUGGAAUUCACGGUGUAGCAGUGAAAUGCGUAGAUAUCGUGAGGAAGACCAGUUGCGAAGGCGACUCUCUGGGCAAUUCCUGACACUGAGGCACGAAGGCCAGGGGAGCAAACGGG
rnacentral:rRNA from 1 species